CACUGGGUGUGGUUUUACUUUAAAACAGUCCAACAAUCAUGACGCUGCAUUUUAUUCAGCUCAUCCUUAGACAGAAGGUUUACAGCUCUGCUACAGGCUCACAGCCGACAAAACAAACAAACAUCAGAAACAUGGUUAAGGUCCACGUUGAUCACUGUUCAGGAUGAGGGUUCGGGGGGCGUUUCAGCCGCCUGAAGUCCUUCCUCAAUGCAGAGGCUCCUGAGGUGACUGUCACCAGCGACAUCGGGAAACCAGGUAGCUUUGAGGUGUCCGUGGAUGGUGAGAUGGUCUUCGAAAGGAGUAAAGAAGGAGGGUUUCCUGAUCCUGAAAAGAUCCUGAAGUCUGUGAGGAAAGCACAAGGAAAAUAAGAAGAUGGAGAUUAAAACAGCUGUAUUCACACUGCAAGAACAAUGACUACAUUCUCUCACAGCUGCAUAUCUGAAUACAAAAAUGAAUUCAAACAUUACAAUAUGACACAAAAAACUUUUUUUUUUUUUAAAUGCAAUUGUGGACCAAAAUCAAAACCUUAAAGUCUCACCAUCAGCUGUGAGAAGAGAAGACCAUUAAUCUUCACUGUGAAUACAGACAAGGACGACAAGAUGAUGAGAGCCACUCUGAGGAGCCAGGAACUGAUCUGCACUUCUGUUUAUGACUGUACACAUUCAAAUUCACAGUGUGUACACGAUGCAAGUCUAGAAGCUUUUCACCUGACUGGAUCCUGAGGAACUGCACUCAUGAUGUCUGCCUGGCAUUUACGCAUAAAUACAAUGUAUCUACAGCUGCAUUUACUCAGGAAUGGAAAAUUAUAACAAUGUAACGCUUUCAUAUAUUUACCAUUUCUCUGUUGUUGAUUGGGAACUAAUUUAAAGGGACAGUUCACCCUAAAAUCCAAAAUACUUAAAAUACCACACUUUUUUUUAUCUUAUCUGUAGCACUUCUAAUCAAUUUAUGUUUAUGGGAGUUGCUGACUGAAGAGAUAUCACCUUCUCCGGAAUAUAAUGGGCUAAAUGGCACUCUGCUUGUUGUGCUCAAAGCUUAAAAAAAUUUGGUUCCAUGAAGCAAAUUCAGCUAGUUUCCCAGCAUAAGUGGCUAAACAAACUAAGCUUUUGCUAUGUUGAAUUUGCUUUAUAGAACCAAAUAAAUCGAAAAUGAGUACAUUAUACAUACAUUAUAUUCGAGAGAAAGCAGACAUUCACACUGGUGAUAUCUCCAACACUCUGCAGAGACACCAACACAAUGUAGACUGAUAAAUACCACCACAAGUAAGAAUGGUAAUAUGUGUUUUUGAUUUUGGGGUGAACUGUCCCUUUAAAUAAAUAAUUUGACUUAUUUUGAAAUAAGCUUUUUGGCCUUCUUGCCAAGAGUUAGCCACAUGAGAACAUCGAAACCACUCAUAGGUUUGUACAAUGAAUAUGAAGCUACCAUCAGCAGCUGGUUAGCUUAGCUAAGCAUUAGGCCUGAAAACAGGGGGACACAGCUAGCCUGGCUCUGUCCUGUCAAGACAAUCUGCCUACCAGCACUUCUAAAGCUCACUGAUAAACAUGUUUUAUCUUGUUUAAUCCGUACAAAAACCAGCACGUGAAAACGGCAAUUUGCCAUUUUACAGAGGGGUUGUGUGCCAGACUAUUUCUUGGUCUGGACCAGUUUCUUCCUGGAGUCUUGGUCCAGGCCAAGAAAUAGUCUGGCUCACAACCCCUCUGUAAAAUGGCAAAUGGUCAUUUUUACACUUCUGGUUUUUGUACAGAUCAAACAAGAUGAAGAGUAACAUGUCAAUUAGCGAGCUUUAGAGGUUCUGGUAGGCAGGUUUUCUUAUGUUCGGACAGAGCCAGGCUAGCUGUUUCCCCCUGUGUCCAGUCUUUAUGCUAAGCUAAGCUAAACAGCUGCUGGUUGUAGCCUUAUAUUUUCCAUACAGACGUGAGAGUGGUAAUGGUCUUCUCAACUAACUCUCUGCAAUAAAGCAAAAUAAGCACAUUUCACAAAAGGUCGGAUUAUUCUUUAACUUUUGGGUGGCCAGUGUCUUAUCUGAUUGGAAAGUCUUUCAGUUAUUUCAAAGCAUUCGCUGUAUGGGCGACCAGCCCAUUCAACUAUCAAUGCAUGUUAUACUCUGAAAUACAUAAUGAACACAAACUUUUCAAACAUAUCAGAUGCAUUUUAUAUUCAUAGCUGCCAUGUAUGCACUACCUUUUUAAAUAUAACCUGGACUCUUACCUGGAUGCUAAGAGCUAAGUACUGCCAUCUCUGUUACUAUUUGAUUUCUUAGCAGUUAAGACAAAGAUUAAAUUAGUCAAAAAUGAAAAACAUAAUUUUAAUUUGACCUGGAACAUAUAUUUGAUUUCAAACUGUAAACGGUUAUCUCAUUUGUAAUCAAUUCCAACAAACAUAUUAUUUCUCUGCAAUAAACUAUCACUGAAAAAGCAACAA